AUUGUGAAACGUCACCCAAGAGGCUAAGGAGACCAUCUCAACCACCACCACCCAUUCCUGAAUUCUGACCAACGGGAACACACACAGGACAACUGACACACACCACAGACACACAACAUGCAUGUGCUGCUUUCCAAGCUCCGAGGUUUCUCCUGGCACUGCUGAGAGGACGGCCUGCUCUUAUGAUGCCUUAUUUAUCCUUCCUUCAUCUUUCCGCUGAGCUAAAGACUAUCGUCCACCUGAUAGAGAAGGACCCAAGGAUAUGCUACACAGGUGACCAGGCUCUUCAGCAGUCCUGGAUUGCUGGAGACACAGCCCUGGAUAAGAACAUCCGUGAAUCUGUCAGCGCCAAGUGACAGCAAGCAUUUAAUGCCACAGCUGUGGUCCGUUACGAGGCUUCUCCAGGUGGCUCCCAGCCAGACCACCCUGCCCAGCCCCUGUAGAAGUCACCUUCUGCUGGCUGAGGCUAAAGAAUACACAGGUCAAUGGUGGGGAGGAGGGAAGAGGGAAUCGAUGAUGCCAACAGAGAAGGUCACUUGCACUAGAUUGGGGAGAGUGAAGGAUGAGGAGAUGAAAGGAAAGGAGAGGAAGGCUGAAUGAGCGGUGUCAUACGUACCCAGGGUGGCAGGUAUCCUAGCGGUUAAGAGCAUUGGGUCAGUCAGCGGUUGAGAGCAUUGGUAAUUGAAAGGUCGCUGGUUCGAAUCCCUGAGCCAUCAAGAUGGAAAAAUCUGCCAUUCUACCUUUGAGAAAGGCAGUUAACCCCCAACAACUGCUCCCUGGGUGCCGAUGACGUCGAUUAGUGCAUCCAUCAGCACCUCUCUGAUUCAGGGGGAGUGAGUUAAAUGCGGAAGACACAUUUCCAUUGAAUGCAUUCAGUGCAACUGACUAGGUAGCCCCUAAUACUGGGUGAUAUUAUUUUGGGACAGAGCUUGGACAGUGUUUUUUUAACUUAUACUUUUUUUAAUGUACGUCUGCCAUUUUCAUCUCUGUAUUUCUGUACAUGUUUUUUAUUGUCAUUAUCCUUCCCCCUUGACAACAUAGAAAGGACUGAUUCACAUACGUAACCUGCAUGAUCAGAGGACAGGUAGACAGGUCCUCAUACGUAUGUGGUACCACCCAUUGUGGAAUAAUUUCUGCACAACAGAUAGUGUAACUAAUACCUCACGAGAGAUGGACUUACAUGUAGGGCCGUUCCUCGUUGUGUCACACCCUGAUCUGUUUCACCGGUCUUUGUGAUUGUCUCCACCCCCCUCCAGGUGUCACCUAUCUUCCCCACUAUCCCCUGUGUAUUUCUACCUGUGUUCUCUGUUUGUCUGUUGCCAGUUCGUCUUGUUUGUUCAAGCCAACCAGUAUUUUGUGUCUCAGCUCCUGCCUUUUCCAGUUUCUCGCCUUCUUGGUUUUGACCCUUGCCUGUCCUGUCUCCGAGCCCACCUGCCUGAGCACUCUGCCUGCCCCUGACCGUGAGCCUGCCUGCCAUCCGGUAUUGUUUCCCCACCUCUGGCUGCCUUAACCUGUCUAUUGCCUGCCCCUGUUGAGAUAUUAAACUAUUGUUUAUUUGA